rnacentral:rRNA from 1 species
UACGUAGGCAGCGAGCGUUGUUCGGAGUUACUGGGCGUAAAGAGUGCGUAGGCGGACAGUUUAGUCAGAGGUGAAAGCCCAGGGCUCAACCUUGGAAUUGCCUUUGAUACUGGCUGUCUUGAGUUCGGGAGAGGUGAGUGGAAUGCCGAGUGUAGAGGUGAAAUUCGUAGAUAUUCGGCGGAACACCAGUGGCGAAGGCGACUCACUGGCCCGAUACUGACGCUGAGGCGCGAAAGCGUGGGGAGCAAACAGG